AGAAUCAACGCUGGCGGCGUGCCUAACACAUGCAAGUCGAGCGCGAAAGGGGAGCAAUCCCCAAGUAGAGCGGCGAACGGGUGAGUAACGCGUGGGUAAUCUACCUCCGAGUGGGGAACAACAGCGGGAAACUGCUGCUAAUACCGCAUGACAUCGUCGAGCCUUCGGGUUUGACGAUCAAAGCCGGGGACCGCAAGGCCUGGCGCUUGGAGACGAGCCCGCGUCCGAUUAGCUAGUUGGCGGGGUAAUGGCCCACCAAGGCUCCGAUC
rnacentral:rRNA from 1 species